GCUCAGAUUGAACGCUGGCGGCAUGCCUUACACAUGCAAGUCGAACGGCAGCACGGGAGUAAUCCUGGUGGCGAGUGGCGAACGGGUGAGUAAUACAUCGGAACGUGUCCUGUAGUGGGGGAUAGCCCGGCGAAAGCCGGAUUAAUACCGCAUACGCUCUACGGAGGAAAGGGGGGGAUCUUAGGACCUCUCGCUACAGGGGCGGCCGAUGGCAGAUUAGCUAGUUGGUGGGGUAAAGGCCUACCAAGGCGACGAUCUGUAGCUGGUCUGAGAGGACGACCAGCCACACUGGGACUGAGACACGGCCCAGACUCCUACGGGAGGCAGCAGUGGGGAAUUUUGGACAAUGGGGGCAACCCUGAUCCAGCAAUGCCGCGUGUGUGAAGAAGGCCUUCGGGUUGUAAAGCACUUUUGUCCGGAAAGAAAUCUUCUGCCCUAAUACGGCGGGAGGAUGACGGUACCGGAAGAAUAAGCACCGGCUAACUACGUGCCAGCAGCCGCGGUAAUACGUAGGGUGCAAGCGUUAAUCGGAAUUACUGGGCGUAAAGCGUGCGCAGGCGGUCCGCUAAGACAGAUGUGAAAUCCCCGGGCUUAACCUGGGAACUGCAUUUGUGACUGGCGGGCUAGAGUAUGGCAGAGGGGGGUAGAAUUCCACGUGUAGCAGUGAA
rnacentral:rRNA from 1 species